rnacentral:rRNA from 1 species
CCUACGGGAGGCAGCAGUGAGGAAUAUUGGUCAAUGGGCGAGAGCCUGAACCAGCCAAGUCGCGUGAAGGAUGACGGCCCAACGGGUUGUAAACUUCUUUUGUCAGGGAGCAAUUGGGUCCACGCGUGGGCUUAGCGAGAGUACCUGAAGAAAAAGCAUCGGCUAACUCCGUGCCAGCAGCCGCGGUAAUACGGAGGAUGCGAGCGUUAUCCGGAUUUAUUGGGUUUAAAGGGUGCGUAGGCGGAAUAUCAAGUCAGCGGUAAAAAUUCGGGGCUCAACCCCGUCGUGCCGUUGAAACUGAUGUUCUGGAGUGGGCGAGAAGUAUGCGGAAUGCGUGGUGUAGCGGUGAAAUGCAUAGAUAUCACGCAGAACUCCGAUUGCGAAGGCAGCAUACCGGCGCCCAACUGACGCUGAAGCACGAAAGCGUGGGUAUCGAACAGGAUUAGAUACCCCAGUAGUC